rnacentral:lncRNA from 1 species
UCCUGGUUUCAGUUGGACUAACAGGCCCACCAAGAGAAGCAACAGCUGUCAUGGGAAUACAAUCAUAUGUGCAGAGAGCUACUUGAGGGAACAACAGAGGAAAUCGAGGAUACAAAUCAGGGAAGAUGGUGGCCACAAUCAUGUGGUAAAAUCAAGCGAAAGAACCUGGGAAGCGCCUUGAUCUAGUUGCAGAAGAAACUGUUCAUUUUCCAUGCUGCUAUCUUACACCACUUUAUAUACAUCAUAAUUAUGAAGAUACACCCCCAAGGGUUUUGUUCUGAAAUUAUUCAACCCCCAACUCCAAAUGCCCUAGCAGUAUCCCAGUGUUCAUAAAGGGUGAUUACAGUAUCAGCAGUACCAGCCACCUGGGAACUUGUUGGAAAACAAAAUCUGGAAAGCCAGUCCCCUAUCCCUAAGCCUAACCUAAAACCCCUAAGGUGGGCAGAUUCAGAAGUCCAAUUAAGCAGCUCUCCAUGUGAUUCUGAAGCUUGGCUGCAGAAAUAAAGUGAAUUGAUGUAAAACAGAGAGGAAAGCAAGAGAGGAUUGAAUAUAGAAGUGCUCCAGGAUCAAAGCUGAUGUAUCAUGGGACAACUUUUAUAACUUAGUCAUUGGUCAUCUUUCUGUCUUUAUUAAUCCACUGUUUCAAUAUGAACACUGUAGCCAGUGAGACUGCUUCAAAUGAAUGUGAAA